rnacentral:rRNA from 1 species
AACGAACGCUGGCGGCAGGCUUAACACAUGCAAGUCGAACGGGUGUAGCAAUACAUCAGUGGCAGACGGGUGAGUAACACGUGGGAACCUUCCUAGAGGUACGGAACAACGCAGGGAAACUUGCGCUAAUACCGUAUACGCUCGAGAGAGGAAAGAUUUAUCGCCUUUAGACGGGCCCGCGUCGGAUUAGCUAGUUGGUGGGGUAACGGCUCACCAAGGCGACGAUCCGUAGCUGAUCUGAGAGGAUGAUCAGCCACACUGGGACUGAGACACGGCCCAGACUCCUACGGGAGGCAGCAGUGGGGAAUCUUGGACAAUGGGCGCAAGCCUGAUCCAGCCAUGCCGCGUGAGUGAAGAAGGCCUUCGGGUUGUAAAGCUCUUUUACCAGGGACGAUAAUGACGGUACCUGGAGAAUAAGCCCCGGCAAACUUCGUGCCAGCAGCCGCAGUAAUAC